AUUGAACGCUGGCGGCAGGCCUAACACAUGCAAGUCGAGCGGAGCGGCGGACGGGUGAGUAAUGCCUAGGAAUCUGCCUGGUAGUGGGGGAUAACGUCCGGAAACGGGCGCUAAUACCGCAUACUAUCAGAUGAGACUAGGCCGGAUUAGCCAGUUGGUGGGGUAAAGGCCUACCAAGGCGACGAUCCGUAACUGGUCUGGGAGGAUGAUCAGCCACACUGGAACUGGGACACGGUCCAGACUCCUACGGGAGGCAGCAGUGGGGAAUAGUGCACAAUGGGCGCAAGCCUGAUGCAGCCAUGCCGCGUGUAUGAAGAAGGCCUUCGGGUUGUAAAGUACUUUCAGCGUGGAGGCGUUACCCGCAGAAGAAGCACCGGCUAACUCCGUGCCAGCAGCCGCGGUAAUAC
rnacentral:rRNA from 1 species